CUUACCAGUAUACUAUGUGAAUCUUUACUGUCAUGUUGAUUGCUGACAAAUGAAACGUCUACAAAAAUAUUUUUACAGAUCCUGGUUUCUUUUUUCAACACUUUCUGAUUCAACUAAAGAAACGAGCAGAGGCAACCGAAUGGUGAAAUUAUUCUGGAACGACUAUAAGGAAGUAUUCCCUGUAUGGAAAGAGUAUUUAUUGUGCCAAAUGAAUAUUUCUAUGAAAUUGAUUUUCUCUCCUACAUAUCAAGAAAUUGAUAUAAACUGAAUUGCUUAGCAGGUUAUCUGGUUAUUC
rnacentral:lncRNA from 1 species